GCAGCCGCCGCGGGAAUACGUAGGGUGCAAGCGUUAAUCGGAAUUACUGGGCGUAAAGCGUGCGCAGGCGGUUUUGUAAGACAGAGGUGAAAUCCCCGGGCUCAACCUGGGAACUGCCUUCGUGACUGCAAGGCUGGAGUGCGGCAGAGGGGGAUGGAAUUCCGCGUGUAGCAGUGAAAUGCGUAGAUAUGCGGAGGAACACCGAUGGCGAAGGCAAUCCCCUGGGCCUGCACUGACGCUCAUGCACGAAAGCGUGGGGAGCAAACAGGAUUAGAUACCCCUGUAGUCCCUGUCUCUUAUAC
rnacentral:rRNA from 1 species